GACGAACGCUGGCGGCGCGCCUAACACAUGCAAGUCGAACGGGACUUGAGAGAGCUUGCUUUUUCAAGUUUAGUGGCGAACGGGUGAGUAACGCGUGAGUAACCUGCCCUGGAGUGGGGGACAACAGUUGGAAACGACUGCUAAUACCGCAUAAGCCCACGGUACCGCAUGGUACUGAGGGAAAAGGAUUUAUUCGCUUCAGGAUGGACUCGCGUCCAAUUAGCUAGUUGGUGAGGUAACGGCCCACCAAGGCGACGAUUGGUAGCCGGACUGAGAGGUUGAACGGCCACAUUGGGACUGAGACACGGCCCAGACUCCUACGGGAGGCAGCAGUGGGGGAUAUUGCACAAUGGGGGAAACCCUGAUGCAGCGACGCCGCGUGGAGGAAGAAGGUUUUCGGAUUGUAAACUCCUGUCGUACGGGACGAUAAUGACGGUACCGUACAAGAAAGCCACGGCUAACUACGUGCCAGCAGCCGCGGUAAAACGUAGGUGGCAAGCGUUGUCCGGAAUUACUGGGUGUAAAGGGAGCGCAGGCGGACCGGCAAGUUGGAAGUGAAAUCUAUGGGCUCAACCCAUAAAUUGCUUUCAAAACUGCUGGCCUUGAGUAGUGCAGAGGUAGGCGGAAUUCCCGGUGUAGCGGUGGAAUGCGUAGAUAUCGGGAGGAACACCAGUGGCGAAGGCGGCCUACUGGGCACCAACUGACGCUGAGGCUCGAAAGCAUGGGUAGCAAACAGGAUUAGAUACCCUGGUAGUCC
rnacentral:rRNA from 1 species